rnacentral:tRNA from 1 species
GUGGAUAUAGCUCAGUUGGUAGAGUGCUUGCCUUGCAUGCACAAAGUCCUGGGUUCAAUCCCCAGCACCACA